rnacentral:misc_RNA from 1 species
CCAACCCAAUCCAGCCACACUGAGAGUGCUUCUGUGAGAGAAGAGAAAAGCAAGUAUUUGCCUAACUCUCGGGCAAGUAUUCCACAUAUAUUGUUGUUAGGUGGGCAUGCCAACCAAUGCCAACUCCAGCUCUGGACUUGAAGUUCACAACCCUCUCCAGUCUAUCUGCUACAAGCGUGGCUCGCUUCAGCUCCUCGACCAUGUCUUUCCAAUUGAAUUUGCUUUUUUAUGCGGGAAUCUAAUUUUUUUGCUCGAAUCGUAAAUUUUGAUUCUUCUUUAACGGAGAAAGCUCCCUCUCGAGACUGUAUAUCUGGAUAUCCGAAAUGCAUCAGAUGGAUGGUCUGCCAUACGGGAGAUGGUGGUCCGUGGGGCACCAGCUACUGCUAUUGCAGCUGCCCUCUCGCUUGCAGUGGAUGUCUUUAACUUAGACUAUUUUAAUGGAACGCCUGAUGCUGCUGCCUCUUUCUUCUUCAAGAAAUUGGAAUAUCUCGUUACGAGGAAAUUGGUCUGCUUGAAUCUGAUGCCAGCUUGCUAAUCUUGCUUAUUGGGUUAUUAUAUUAGCUGUUUGAAUUGCAAUUGAUAUGGGUUAUCUUGUCUGGAGAUGUUUUGUUUUAUUUUAACUUGAUGUGGUGUUUGCCUAAUUGCCUAAGCUGUUGAAAUGGUAACUUAUUCAAUUGCUUUUAAUGGGAAGUAGCAGAUUAUAGGAUUGUCUUUCAUGUUUUCUCAGCCGACCUACUGCAGUUAAUCUUUCAGAUGCUGCAACAAAACUUAAAGAAGUUAUAUCAAAGGCUGCUGCUACGGCUUCAGAAUGGAAGAAUGUUUCAGGCUUACAUAGAAGCUGCUGAAAUUAUGCUUGAAGAUGAUGUUGCUUCAAACAAAGUAAUUGGUUCUCAUGGAGCAAUUUUUAUUCAGAACCAACUGAAAAACUCUGACAGGCUUUCUAUUCUGACACAUUGCAAUACUGGUAGGUAUGUUUCUCAUCAUCUUGUGUUUGUUUUCCUCAUAUUAUUUUCCGUCCCACAUGGAUAUCUUUCUUGAUUGGCAAAGAAAAUGUGAGGAAGUGUUUAUAGCUCCAAUCUGGGUGCGUUUUGUUUUUUUCAGUCUUGCAACAGCUGGAUAUGGUACUGCUCUGAGAGUGAUUCUUGCACGUCAUACUGAAGGAGUGUUAGAGAGGCCCUGGGAAUGCUCUGUUUCUUUGCUUUGCGGCGUUUUCUGCUCUUCUUUGGUUGCGGAAUUCGAUGAUUACAGGAUAGGGUUUAUUUUACUUUUAUGCUUUUUAAAAAAAAUAAAAAAAAAAGAAAGUUUAGGUUAUUUGCCACGGGCAUUGCCUUGUUGGCCCUCACCUGACCAGUCUUAGGUGCUCGCCUCUUUGCAGUGAACUUGCCUCAGCCCGACAAGGCGUUAGGGGCUUGCCUCGCUUCGCCCGGCACCUUUUCUCGCCUUUAACAACACUGGUAGUCACAAAUGAUCAGGAGGUAGGGACAGCCCAUCUAGUAGUCUCCAUCUCCUGGUUUAACACAAAUAAUCAGCAACAUAACAUAGCAUGUAUACCUUUUCCAACAAUUGAAUGUUUGGAAUGCAUAGACAAUAAAAGAAAAAGAUGGGAAAAAUAUAGGAUAACUUUAUCCCAAAGAAUGGAAAAAAAUGAUGGUGGUGGCGGUGGUGGCAGAAUUUGAUUCUAAUGGUGUUCGAUAACCUAUCUCUAUCAAACUGCAAUAUUAAUUUUGUCUUUUACAAUCAUGAAAAUCAUUUUAUGCCUACAAAUGACUCAAAUCAUUGCAAAUUAGUGAACUUGCAUGCAUUAAUAGCUGUUACCGCCAGCUUGAAAAUUGAGGGUUGUUUUGCUUUGUUGAAGUAAUUGGGUGCAUAUAGACGUGGUAAUAUGUUCAAUAUUUUUGGUUAGAGCAUCAGCCUCUAUAUUGUGAUCGGAAUUAUGAAUUGGUUAUCAACAAACUGGCCAAUAAUAAAGAUUGUGAGGGAUAAUCCUCAAUUCAAAUGUUUUCAGGGGUUCAGCCAUUAUCUCACCUCCUCAUAUUAUUUAUAAAGUUCAAUUCUUACUACGGGGAUCUAGACUCACAGCUUUUGAGUUGGUGCAUGACAAAAUAACCGCUACUCUUAUAGCAUAUUCUGCUACAGCUGCGUGAAUGAAAGAUGGUCAAGUGAGUGCUGUGAUUGUUGGAGCAGACCGUGUGGCUGCAAAUGGAGAUACUGCUAACAAGAUUGGGACCUACAGCCUAGCCUUAUGCUCAAUGCAUCACAACAUUCCAUUUUAUGUUGCUGCACCAUUGAUUUAUCCCUUUCUUCUGGGAAACAAAUUUUCAUAGAGGAAAGGCCACUUAAAGAAUUUUUAAAUUCACAUGGAGGACUUGGAGAUCAAGUUGCUGCAUCCGGGAUCUCUGUCUGGAACCCAGCUUUUGAUGUUACCCCUGCAAAGCUGAUAAGCGGUAUCAUGACAGAAAAGGAGUCUGCUAAGAUGAGUAAUGGCGAUUUUGACAUAAAGAAUUUUGUACAAGGGGCAACUGGGCAGUCCGUUGCAUAGGAGAGGCAUCUGUUGCUGGGCAGACUGGAUGUGGAUGGUACACAUACGCCAAAGCGGUCAGCAUAUUUUUAAGCAUGUAAUUUAGCUGACAAUAUUAGGGGCUAUACAACUUUUUUGUUAGAAUGCUGGAAUAAGCCUUCUGUAUUGUCUCGCUCUCGAGUAUUUUGGGUAUUUUGUUUACAAAGAUUAAGGUUUUUGAUUUGAGGGCACCCAUUUUGCUUACAUCUUAUAUAGAUUAAAGAGUGGUCGUAUUUGUGAACCGUGUAUUAGUUUCCCCCUCAUUUGCAGUAUGGAUCUAGCCCAAACUACGAAUUCUAUAUAGCCUUUCAUUUGACGCACCGAAACAAUAAGGGAUGAUCUGCCCCUUUUUCAUAAUUAUCUACUCCAGCGUUUCUGAAUCGAAGUUCAAGUUUUAUUUCACGGGUUUGAAUGCUAGUUGAAGUUGUG